rnacentral:rRNA from 1 species
UACGUAGGGUGUGAGCGUUAAUCGGAAUUACUGGGCGUAAAGCGUGCGCAGGCGGUUUUGUAAGCCAGAUGUGAAAUCCCCGGGCUUAACCUGGGAAUGGCAUUUGGGACUGCAAGGCUGGAGUGUGGCAGAGGAGACUGGAAUUCCCGGUGUAGCAGUGAAAUGCGUAGAUAUCGGGAGGAAUACCGAUGGCGAAGGCAGGUCUCUGGGCUGACACUGACGCUCAUGCACGAAAGCGUGGGGAGCAAACAGG